GAGGAGUUAGCUCAAUAGGUAGAGCAACUCGCUUACAACGAGUAGGUUAAUGGUUCGAUUCCUUUACUUCUCA
rnacentral:tRNA from 1 species